rnacentral:rRNA from 1 species
AGCGAACGCUGGCGGCAGGCCUAACACAUGCAAGUCGAACGAACUCUUCGGAGUUAGUGGCGGACGGGUGAGUAACACGUGGGAACGUGCCUUUUGGUUCGGAAUAACUCAGGGAAACUUGUGCUAAUACCGAAUGUGCCCUUCGGGGGAAAGAUGUAUGGCCAUUUGAGCGGCGCGCGUCUGAUUAGCUAGUUGGGGAGGUAACCGCUCGGCAAGGCGACGUUCAGUAGCUGGUCUGAGAGGAUGACAAUCCACACUGGGACUGAGACACGGCCCAGACUCCGAGGGGAGGGAGCAGUGGGUAAUAUAGCGCAAUGGGCGAAAGCGUGACGCAGCCAUGUCGGGUAAAUGAGGAAGGUCUUAGGAUUGUAAAAUUCUUUCACCGGGGACGAUAAUGACGGUACCCGGAGAAGAAGCCCCGGCUAACUUCGUG